CGGGCCCCUGGCCCUGAUGGUAUUCCUUUUUUCUUUUACCAGCAUUUUUGGGAGUUAGUUAAGAAAGACCUGAUGGCCAUGUUUGAAGAUUUCCAUAAAGAAGAACUUGCUAUUCACAGGCUUAACUUUGCCAUGUUGAACCUUAUCCCAAAAGAGGCUGAUGCUUCUUGUAUGAGGAAAUUUAGGCCAAUCAGCCUGCUUAACUGUAGUUUUAAGAUCUUUACCAAAGUCCUGACUAAUAUACUGUCUAUGAUUCUCCAAAGACUCAUAGCUAGCAACCAAUCUGCCUUUUUUGGAAAGGAGAUACAUUUUGGAAAGUGUGGUCACAACUCAUGA
rnacentral:rRNA from 1 species